rnacentral:lncRNA from 1 species
AUAAUCUUCUGUCUUAAGAGCACCCAGGAUGUGUUUUCAAUGGUAUGGAAUUAGCUAGCCCUAGGAAAGACAGUCCCUCCAGAGUUAGCAAGACCCCAAGAUGUCAAAGAUAAAAAUGCAAAAAUUAAAACUCCAUGAUUAACACAACUUUGAAGUCCUUCUCACUUGUCUUUAGAUGAGGGGCAACAUCAUUGCAACAAGUCACACUUUGAGAACUCAAGAGAAUAUGUUUGUUCUGAAAAUCCGGGAAUUAUUGCCAACCCAUGGUUGUCUCCAUGUGUCUUGGGAAAAAUAGGAAAAAGAUUUUUUGAGUUGGUGAUUAGAAUCCAAGACACAAAGAUUCAGGCUCUGGUGAAAAGAUUGUAUAAGCUAUUUUGGCUGACAUAAAAGGUAAGAGCAAGAAUGCAGAGGAUUUCUAUCAACAUAAAGAAGAGUCAAAGAUGGAGAAUAAGAGAAGUGGUUUUCCUAAGAUCACAUAAUUAAGACUUAUUAAUAAAAAGUUUGAUGCUCUUUCUAUUAUAA